GCGAAAAUGCAGGACGAUUUCACGUUAUCGCGAUGAUUCGGCCUCAGUGUGACGAAUAAGACACUAAAAUCGGGUCAGAUGAGUGACGUUUAUGUGCUUCAACAAGCCGCAAAUGCGCCAACGAUGUCUGUGUUUACAGUACACACAGGUGCAGUAAAACCUGUGGAAGAUCAGCAGCACAGCAGGUAGAGAAAACGCUUAUCCCUGGUCCAGGUGAGGUGGAGGUGUUACUGCCGGCAGUAGAAUAAAGGUGACAAGUCUGCAGAUGUUCCUUCAUGGUGUAACAUGUUUGUAUAGCUUCACCUGUGUGCCAGCUACAGGUAACUAGAAGAAGAGCCAGAUUUUACUGGAAGUUUUAAAAAGGUGGUCUUGAGCAAUAGUUCUUCGGGCUUUCUGAAAGUCUUUCAAAGUUUUUGUUUGGACUUUGGCUGCUUUUUCACUCAUUUUCAGUUCAGUCCUUGUACCUGAUCAUUUUCAGGGUAAUGAUUGCUGUUUGUUUGGGGGGGGGUUUGUUGUUAAUUCCUAUUGUAUGUGUCUACACAUAACAGACAACCUUGCAAAGAACCCAUUUGAAAUUUUAUGUUUAGGCACUUUGUUUCUAGCAGAUAUAAUUUUGCACCAACAAGGUGAUUCCCAAACAGCCAAAAACUGAAAAAUCCCAGCAUGGUGUGCAGCCGGUCCUUAAAACAUUUGAGGAAGCUGGACAAGUGCAGGACAAAAGAAGAUGUAGUUUCUGCACAAAAGGCAGAAACAUCCUGUGAAAAGAUUUUGUUUAUUAUUCAAAUAUGCUUUGCUUGUAACUGUGUAAACCUCUGAAUGAUAUGCUGUGAUUGUGUAAACUCUGAAUGACGAUUCACCCUGAUAAACAUGAAGCUUUGCCUAUGCUUAUCAUAUGCCUGUGAAGACAAGUUCCUGUGUAAAGAGGAACGGAAAGUUCCACAUAAGCAGAUGUUUAGUAUAGUAUGAACUGAACGUUUUAGCAAGAUAUGCAUUUGUCUGUUAAGCAAUCUAUGUUCUUUAGCAAGAUAUACAUUUGUAAUCUAUAUUCUGGGAACAGGCGGAGACUGCCUCCGCCCUGUUGAGUAACCUACAUGCCUAUAUAACCUGCAAUAAAGAAGAGUACUGGUGUGACUCUCAUUAGAGACGUUCACCCCAUGUACAUGUGAUUG